UUGAAAACUAAUUUUAGUUUUUCUAUCCCUUUGUUUACCUACCCUGUUGCUUCCACCCUUAAUUGUCUAAGGCCAAGUUGGUCAAGGUGAUGGGUGGAAAGAUUCAUAAUCAAAACAUUUGAAAAAAUGUCUGAUAAACCUAUGAAAGGGAAAAUA
rnacentral:misc_RNA from 1 species